rnacentral:rRNA from 1 species
UACAGAGGUGGCAAGCGUUGUUCGGAAUUACUGGGCGUAAAGGGCGCGUAGGCGGUCUUGUAAGUCUUGUGUGAAAUCCCUCGGCUCAACUGAGGAACUGCACGGGAUACUGCGAGACUUGAGUUCGGGAGAGGGAAGCGGAAUUCCGGGUGUAGCGGUGAAAUGCGUAGAUAAUCCGGAGGAACACCAACGGCGAAGGCAGCACUCUGGGCCGGUACUGACGCUGAGGAGCGGAAAGCGUGGGGAGCAAACAGGG